AUUAUAUUUUCUGGGUUUUGCAUAACUUUGAAAUGUUUUUUUUUUUUUUUCCCAAUUUAAGUCACGAUAGAGAGAAAUAUGGUAACCAGUCAAAUCUCCAUUGAAGAAGAAAAUAACAACGAAUGAAUUCUACUUGUGGGUAUUACUAGUUCUGUAUUUUGGACUCAUUUUGGAAAUUUCAGUAUCUUUUUCCCUUUUCCCCACACUUUCUCGGAAACCAAACAAUGCAUUUCUCUGUAGGUUAUAUUUACAUGGAAAUAACUGAGAGAGGGUAAGAACAUAUAACGCCUGUAUCGAGGAUCAGUUUUUAUUUUAUGGGUAUUUAAUAUUUAGAACUGUAUAUUUAUUAGAUUACCUUUUUUUUAAUUUUCAAUUUAAAUUAAUUAAACACCUUCAAGCUGCACCGGUUUCUAGUUUCUUGUAGUAAAUUCCUCCUUUCUGGGUUUGAUGUUUACAUCAGUUUGCGUUUAAAUAUUUGAAUCUUUUUCUUUUUAUUUCUGAAAAUUUCAGAGCUUGAAUCUGGACCAUCACUUGCUAAAGGUAAGAUUAUCUGCUAUUUAUUUUGUUGGAUUUAUUUGUUGGUUCGUCUAUGUUUUGAUUUUUGUUGUUCAUUAGGGUUGAGAUUGAGGUCAGGUUGUUAGCAUGUCAUAUGGGCUUGCCCUUUCUUUCUUUUGAAGCUUAACUCUGGAAUCUUCUUUUCCCUCUGAAUCCUCUGUUUGGUUGCCAAGAAAAUGAGAUGAAGUUGUGAAGCCAGAUAGUGGAUCCAGUUGCAGUCAUCUGUCAAUGGCUGAUAAGCCUGACUACAAUUCUUUCAAAUUCAUUGACAACUCGAAGGAGAUCAGCCAGCAGAAAGCAUAUCACGAUAAUAAGAUCACAGAAAAAAAGCAGAAGAAAGGGAUUGGAAUAAGAAGGAACCGAAAUUGGGCUAAUACUAAUUCUGUUGCCCAGAAUGAUCCAAGAUUCGAAAGAAAACCUGCUGGUGAAGAAGAUGGAGUUAAAGAAAGAACGAAGAUUAGAACUGAAAUCUCAGUAGUGGACUCACACAGACCUGACCUGGCAGUGUUCUUACAAGACAGCAACUAUCAGUUUGUUAAGGAAAUUUUCAUGGACAGCCGAGUGCCUUCACAGUCCAGGAUAUGGGAUGAAACAUUUAUGCUGGAUCAUAGAAGUUUAUCACGUGUGAUUUGCUCGAAUGAGGAAAGUGAUAGCGAAUCGACAGGAGGAACUCUGGAGACAGUUUCAUCCUGUUCAAGCGAGUCUGAACAUGUUGAGGAAUAUAAUGAUUGUAGAAGGGAAGCAAUCAAGCAUUGUGUUUCUGAUGAGAGAUUGGUAGAAAGUGAAGAAGAAUUUGAUGAGAGUUAGAUCAGUCAAUCUGCUGGGAAAAUUGUGACCGGAUUGAAGCCGGUUAGAGAGGUUCCAAUCGAGAGUGCAGAGUUGGCAAAUUCCGUGCAUAUGGCAACAUCUAAAUCCAAAACAACAGACGAUAAUGGUUGUACAAUUGUUGAAAUUGAGAUAGAGAGUGGAACCACUGGAAAUGGCAUGGAAGAACUGCAAGAAACUAUUGGAGAUUGUCCAAAGACUGUAGUUGAAACCAGAAGCAAUCUUAAAGUUGAAGAUUCGAUGUCAAGAGAAAGCCCAACAGGAUCAAGCCAAAUCUCUGGCAAGAAUCCUGAACAUGGAAAUGAAGAAUCCGGUCCACUUGUUUUUGGUCCUUUUCUCGGUCGGAUAGGGACAAUGCCUUAUUCCGGUAGCUCCUCUCUCCGGUCAACUAGCAGCACUUCUAGCUCCUUUGCUUUUCCUAUACUAGCCUCGGAAUGGAAUGGCAGCCCGGUGAGAAUGGUGGAAGCCGACAGAAAACAACUGAGAAGACAGCAGCAAAGUUGGAGGAUAUGUUGUUUCCUCUGUUGUAAAUUCUGAUAUUCUUCCUCUGCACCAUACAUGCAUGUAUAUACACAUGUAUUCUUUCUGCUCAUAUUUAUUUUUACGUGUAUUGGGUUUGCUGUUUCUGGGUUCUGGUAUGAUGCUGAUGAUAUGGGAAUUGUUUUGCUGCA